AGAUGGAUCAUUCAUAUUUAAGUGAAACGUGAGGUGUUGCUCUCUACAACAUGAACUUAGUAAAUCUGGUGUCCGCUUUGUGAACAAUGUGACUUGACAUAAACUUUUAGUGGUGGAUGUCUCGGCCCUCCAUGCGAUGAAAGACGCAGCUGUAUGCGAUAAGCAAUAUGAUUUGUAGUUUUUAGGGAAUAAUUAAGUUUCUGAAUGCGAAAGGUACCUACGAAACUCUUCGUACGUAUGUCUACCUCAGUGCUCCCAUUAAUUUACUUUAACUUAAGUGUUAAAUGUGAUGAUCCGCUAAGUACUUGGUGGAUGUUAAGGUUUGAAGAUUGCGAUAUGUUUGGGUGUAUGCUGCAAUUGAAAGCCUUGCUUUAUUUAAUUAUAGCCUGAGGUUAGGCAAGGUAACUGACUGAAUUUAAGCAUAUUAAUAAGUCGUGGAAUUGAAACUAACCAAGAUCCCCUGAGUAACGGCGAGUGAAAUGGGGAGAGCUCAAACUGAAAAUUAGCAAUUUUAAUUGCUGAGUUGUAGCCUUGUGAAGUGUUGCUCUAGAGUUACUUGGGUUAGUUCUUUUGGAAAUGAGAGCAGUAUAGGGUGAGAGUCCCGUAUUUUGCUCAAGAUAACUCUUGUUUGGUACACUAUCAAUGAGUCACGUUCCUUGAGAGUGGAAUGUAAAGUUGGUGGUAAACUUCAUCUAAAGCUAAAUAUUUUGAGGGUCCGAUAGUCUAGAAGUACCGUGAGGGAAAGCUGAAAAGAACUUUGAAAAGGGAGUUAAAAGUCACUGAAACUGCUAAGAGUGAAGUAGAGGAAAUUAGCGAUUCAGUAGAACUUUGUUCAUCAAUUUAAGAUUGAUAGAAUGUAAAGUGUCUAUUGUAACUCUGGCAAUAAUUAAGUUUGUUGGAUGUGUCUAUCACCAUUACUUUUCUUAAGUGUGAUGACUGAUGUCGGCUAGCAAGGAUGAUUAGACCUAAGUAUGUUGCUUUGUUCGAUUUUACUUAGUGCCGGUUUUAAUUUUCUCUGUCCCGUCUUGAAACACGGACCAAGGAGUCUAACUUAUGUACGAGUGUCUGGAUUGUUGAAAACCGGGUGCAUAAUAAAGGUGACUAUUAGUAAAUGCUCUAAUGCUCGGUUCGUAACUGAAGCAGAGUAUGUAGGUUAGGACCCGAAAGAUGGUGAACUAUGCCGGGGUAGGGUGAAGCUAGGGGAAACUCUGGUGGAAGCUCGUAGCGAUACUGACGUGCAAAUCGUUCGUCAAACUUUGGUAUAGGGGCGAAAGACUAAUCGAACUAUCUAGUAGCUGGUUCCUUC
rnacentral:misc_RNA from 1 species